GCUUCUUUGCUGACGAGUGGCGGACGGGUGAGUAAUGUCUGGGAAACUGCCCGAUGGAGGGGGAUAACUACUGGAAACGGUAGCUAAUACCGCAUAAUGUCGCAAGACCAAAGAGGGGGACCUUCGGGCCUCUUGCCAUCGGAUGUGCCCAGAUGGGAUUAGCUUGUUGGUGAGGUAACGGCUCACCAAGGCGACGAUCCCUAGCUGGUCUGAGAGGAUGACCAGCCACACUGGAACUGAGACACGGUCCAGACUCCUACGGGAGGCAGCAGUGGG
rnacentral:rRNA from 1 species